UAAGCGGAGGAAAAGAAACUAACAAGGAUUCCCCUAGUAACUGCGAGUGAAGCGGGAAGAGCUCAAAUUUAAAAUCUGACAGUCUUUGGCUGUCCGAGUUGUAAUCUAGAGAAGUGCUAUCCGCGCUGGACCGUGUACAAGUCUCCUGGAAUGGAACAUCAUAGAGGGUGAGAAUCCCGUCUCUGACACGGACUUCCAGGGCUUUUGUGAUAUGCUCUCAAAGAGUCGAGUUGUUUGGGAAUGCAGCUCUAAAUGGGUGGUAAAUUCCAUCUAAAGCUAAAUAUUGGCGAGAGACCGAUAGCGAACAAGUACCGUGAGGGAAAGAUGAAAAGAACUUUGGAAAGAGAGUUAAACAGUACGUGAAAUUGUUGAAAGGGAAACGCUUGAAGUCAGUCACAUUGACUAGGGAUCAACCUUGCUUCUUUGCUUGGUGUACUUCCUAGUUGAUGGGCCAGCAUCAAUUUUGACCAGUGGAUAAAGGUCAAGGGAAUGUGGCAUCUUCGGAUGUGUUAUAGCCUUUGAUUGUAUACAUUGGUUGGGAUUGAGGAACUCAGCAUGCCGUAAGGCCGGGUUUCGACCACGAUCAUGCUUAGGAUGUUGGCAUAAUGGCUUUAAUCGACCCGUCU
rnacentral:rRNA from 1 species